UUUCGAAUUAACGCGGUUUUUUUUUACGCGGAUUUUCGAAUUAACGCGGUUGUUUUUUACGCGGUGUUUUUUUACGCGGGACGAAAUACCGCAUAAAAAAAACCUCAGUGUACUUCGGACACGCCGAGAGAAAAGAUUCCUCACCUGUGCAAUACAAACACUUGCUUACUGUUUGUAUUUCACACGAAGCUUCCGCAUGUAUUGUCAUUGAAGUUGAAAUCCGAAGUUUUCGCGCUGGUGAUCGGCAACCUUGCCAACUAGCGACGUUGUGAAAUAUCAUUACUGGCAACGCUUUUGUAAAGUAAUAACCAGCGUGCCUAUACAGCUACGGGUGGUUGCAUAUUGAGCAACAGUAGGCAAGGAGUACCAAAAGUUUCUCAUUGCACUGAACCAAAUUGGGCGAUUAAAUUUAUAGGGUCCUUUUAGUAAAUCUAAUUAUUCCCAGUCAAAUCUAAACUACUAAAUUAUCCUUUCAAAGAUAUAGGAAAAUUUAAUAGAUUGUAUCUGCCUCACUCACCUUGUGAAAUACAUAGGAAAAUCCAAUAAUUAUCAAACCAAAUUGAGCGAUUCAAUUUAAAGGGUCAUUCCAAUAAAUCCUAUUAUUCGCAGUCAAAUUUAAGCUACUAAAGUGUCUUCUGAAAGAUAUAUGAAAAUCCAAUAAAUUGUGUCUGCAUCAUCCACUUGAUAAAAUGCAUAGGAAAAUUCAAUAACUUUUAUUACUUUCGUGUGGCAUACCUUUCAUUUCUGCUUUGUGAUCUGUGACGUUGGAUUAUGAAUUUUUGUUCAGAUCGUUGUCAACUGAAAAUUAUAGCUUAAUUUUCCCAAUAAAUUGAUUAUUUAGUUAAUAACGGCCCAUCGAUACUAAGUUAAAUAAAAUAUGAAGGAAAUAUACAGGUGAGUUCCUAUUCCGUAUAUUUUCGAAUGAUUUGUGCGAGUUUUGUAAAUGGUGACCAAUGUUUUUAAUACAAGAUUGGAACGGAACCAUAUUCCCCGGAACCAUAUAACAGGACAUAACCGGAAUAGCCAAGGAACUUAGUUGGAAACCUCGACAAAGCAGUGUCGACAAAAAUCCAAAUGGGGUAAAUAAAAGAGCGGAUGAGGUCAAAGUCUAGCGAUACGCAAGUUGAAAGUGUCUAGAACUCCCUCUAGGGAGAGGACAAAGUGGUAACAACUUCACACCGAAUUGGGACAGACCGAUACCAAUCGGUAUCUGGUCUCGGUCAUCGAAGAGAGUGCUACAUGGUCAAGCUAUUUUCGCCUGUGGCCUGUACGAUGAGGCACUUCAUUAUUUCGUUCUCGUCGAGUUGAAUUUGCGUUCAGAGAAGUGUAAUUGCAGUCGCAGCAUCCGGAUUCUGACCGUCGUAUCAUACACCAUAAGAGGAUGGAAAAAUCACGAUCCAAGUUCAAACAAACCAAACAUGCCGCAGAUCCUCCAAUCCGACUGACCAAUUAUAGUCUAGUGGUCGAAGCCGAUUGCCGGAACGGUUUAAGAUGAAACGGAACUGGAGAUUGAAUUCCGAAUUAUCGACGAACUGGGCUAGCUCAAGAUUUUUGUAUUCGGAUGUAGAAGUAUGAUGAAGCUUGAGUAGGAGUCCCGUCCUACGUUUCAAUGUUUCGAUCGAUUUCCUAAGAGUGCCUUGUAGUGCCAAAAGUAAAGUUGUAUUACUUCUUAAAAUACAGCAAAUUUUAAUUAAAAUUUUGACUUACCUUAUUGGUUCUAUCAUAUGCCAGCAAGCUACUGUAUAUAA